rnacentral:rRNA from 1 species
UACGUAGGGUGCAAGCGUUGUCCGGAAUUACUGGGCGUAAAGAGCUUGUAGGCGGUUUGUCGCGUCUGCUGUGAAAUUUCGGGGCUCAACCCCGAACUUGCAGUGGGUACGGGCAGACUAGAGUGUGGUAGGGGAGACUGGAAUUCCUGGUGUAGCGGUGAAAUGCGCAGAUAUCGGAAGGAACACCAGUGGCGAAAGCGGCUUCCUGGUCCAGCACCGACGUCAGGCACGAAAGCGUGGGGAGCAAACAGG